rnacentral:lncRNA from 1 species
AUUCAUAAUUGGAAACUGUGACUACAUUUGGCAUUAUAUGAGGGGCAGCUUUUUUCCUCAUCUGAAAAAGGAGUCUCUUUUCUUCCCCCUGGGAAUAUCUCUGGUUAGAGCAGCCAGCGGGUACAGAAUGGAUUUUGGAAGAGGGAGUCACCACUGGACCUCCAAGGAAGCCACGUGCAGACAUCUACAACCUUCGAUCUCCUGACGAGUUUAUUGUUGGCCAAAACCAGGCUUUGAUUGAACCAGGAUGAAUGCGGGUGUUGGAAGUAGAAUAUAUAUAUACAUAUAAAAUUGGUUGGGAGCCACGUGUACCAGUGUGUGUUGAUCUUGGCUUGAUUCAGUCUGCCUUGUAACAGAUUUUGCCUGCCUGAGCUCCUCUAGUAGUGGCCACAAUUGCCAGAGAAGAUAGAGCAGGUCUCUCCCAGGACUUGCAGCUCCAGCCUGUGUCUGCAAGGGGUGUUGUAGCGACUGAUUUCUCCAGCCCAUGGCAAGAGGCCUUCAUCUUGUGCCUGGAAAGAGGGAAGUACAAGUCCGUCUGGCAGAGAUGGUGCAGAUGGGCAAGUUUUUCAGACACUGCAGCCAGCACUUCUGGGACCGCAGCAGUGGAGCCUGCAGAGGGCCGGUUCUCCAGGCAUGGGCUACUGACAUUGUCACUUCCAGACUCCUUAUGCAAUAAACAAC